UGCACAAGGCCNNUGGAGCAUGUGGUUUAAUUCGAAGCAACGCGAAGAACCUUACCAAAUCUUGACAUCCCUCUGACAAACUGUGUAAAGCAGUCUUCUUCGGACAGAGGUGACAGGUGGUGCAUGGUUGUCGUCAGCUCGUGUCGUGAGAUGUUGGGUUAAGUCCCGCAACGAGCGCAACCCUUGUCUUUAGUAGCCAGCAUUUCGGAUGGGCACUCUAGAGAGACUGCCAGGGAUAACCUGGAGGAAGGUGGGGAUGACGUCAAAUCAUCAUGCCCCUUAUGAUUUGGGCUACACACGUGCUACAAUGGCGUAAACAAAGGGAAGCGACCCUGUGAAGGCAAGCAAAUCCCAAAAAUAACGUCUCAGUUCGGAUUGUAGUCUGCAACUCGACUACAUGAAGCUGGAAUCGCUAGUAAUCGCGAAUCAGAAUGUCGCGGUGAAUACNUUCCCGGGCA
rnacentral:rRNA from 2 species